rnacentral:rRNA from 1 species
CCCUUAGAUGUUCUGGGCUGCACGCGCGCUACACUGCUGCAAUUAACGGGUUUUCUGUGCCGAAAGGCUUGGGGAAUCCUUUGAAUAUGCGGCGUGAUGGGGAUAGAAUAUUGUAAUUAUUACUCUUCAACGAGGAAUUCCUAGUAAGCGCGGGUCAGCAGCCCGCGCUGAUUACGUCCCUGCCCUUUGUACACACCGCCCGUCGCACCUACCGAUUGAAUGGUCCGGUGAAAUCUCGGGACGGCGGCUUGGUCGCUUGCGUCCGACUGCUGAAACUUGAUUAAACCAUAUCAUUUAGAGGAAGGUGAAGUCGUAACA